GGCUGGUCUGAAGGUCGGAGGCCUAAUUUUAACGCGUUUUCCUCCCUUUAAUUUGAAACGGGAACGCGAAUGACUGUAAAAUAGGAAGACAAACAUAAAGAUGAAGUGCUUAAUUCAAGGUCACACAAUGUCGGGGAUGGACCUCCAGAUUUCCUUACUGGAAAACAAGCUCAGGGCUCCCACUGAUUGUACAUUAUGGUGAGACGUGGUCUUGUAACACAGUGGUUAAGAAUGUGACUUUGGAGCCAGCCUGCUAGGGGCUGAAUUCUGACUCAGCCAUUUACUAACUGUGUGACCUUAGGUGGAGUCUCACUCUGUAGCCCAAGCUGGAGUGGCGUGAUCUCGACUCACUGCAACCUCCGCCUCCUGGGAUCAAGUGAUUCUCGUGCCUCAGCCUCCUGAGUAGCCGGGACUACAGGUCACAGAAUUUUCCACACUCCUUGACAGAGGUGCUUAACCCUUAUCCAUCAGCAUUCUCAGACAGCACCUCCGGUUAGGGACAGUAUCUGACCGUCCGACAUCCCUGCAGCCCCCAUGUGUCACACAGACUCAGCCUCAGGUAGAUGGUUUCCGUAGAUGGUGGCUUUCUUUGGACCCUUGACAUCAACCAGUUACUAUUUGACUCUUCUGCAGAACCCCAUGUUGACCCCUGCUUUGAGGUGGCAGAGUUAACACUACUCUUCGUUAUAAGCUCUCGUCUGGGGCAACUCAGAAGAACCUCCUGCAACCACCGCUGUACUUUCUGUCUCUAUGAACUUGACUACUCUAGACACCUCAUGGGACCAGAUGUGCAGAGGUAAUGAAUACCAGGGAAUCAGGAAACCACUGGAUCAGUUCUUUGAGCCACAGAACAACACUCAUCCCAGCAGCUGGGAAGCUAUCUGCAAAAGUCCAUCUGCAGAAAGGGCUUCCUGGUCUUGCGUGUGGCUGGGCCAUUUCUCUGGAUGCAGGUUUUUCAUUAUACAGUCUUCUCAAAGAACCACCUGCUCUCAACACCUUCUCGGUGACUCCAUUUCCCCUCCUCU
rnacentral:lncRNA from 10 species